UUAAAGGAAUUGACGGGGAGCACCACGAACGGGUGGAGCUUGCGGUUUAAUUGGAUUCAACGCCGGAAUCUUACCGGGACCGACAGCAAUAUGAAGGCCAGGCUGAAGACUUUGCCGGAUUAGCUGAGAGGUGGUGCAUGGCCGUCGUCAGUUCGUACUGUGAAGCAUCCUGUUAAGUCAGGCAACGAGCGAGACCCACGCCCACAGUUGCCAGCGUACUCUCUGGAGUGACGGGUACACUGUGGGACCGCCGCUGCUAAAGCGGAGGAAGGAAUGGGCAACGGUAGGUCAGUAUGCCCCGAAUAUCCCGGGCUACACGCGAGCUACAAUGGUUGGUACAAUGGGUAUCUACCCCGAAAGGGGACGGGAAUCUCCUAAAACCAAUCUUAGUUCGGAUUGAGGGCUGCAACUCGCCCUCAUGAAGCUGGAAUCCGUAGUAAUCGCGUUUCAACAGAACGCGGUGAAUACGUCCCUGCUCCUU
rnacentral:rRNA from 1 species